rnacentral:rRNA from 1 species
UACGUAGGGUGCGAGCGUUAAUCGGAAUUACUGGGCGUAAAGCGUGCGUAGGCGGCCAACUAAGUCAGACGUGAAAUCCCCCGGCUUAACCUGGGAACUGCGUCUGAUACUGGGAGGCUUGAGUAUGGGAGAGGGAUGUAGAAUUCCAGGUGUAGCGGUGAAAUGCGUAGAUAUCUGGAGGAAUACCGGUGGCGAAGGCGGCAUCCUGGACCAUUACUGACGCUGAGGCGCGAAAGCUAGGGGAGCAAACGGG